rnacentral:misc_RNA from 1 species
AGGUCGCUGAUAUGCUCCACCCAGCGGGAGAAACGUGCAUGAUCGUCGAGUUCGGCAGGUAGUUGAUCGGUCGAGAAAACGACUUUGCUCAUUCCAGCUUUGCGCCCCUUCGCGAACUUCCUGAAAUACGCAAUCGAUAUAACGCGCAAGCAUAACGGAUUGAUGGAGAAAAUCGAAAACCGGCCCGCCUGUCUGCCGGCAU